AGACUUCAUUCUGAAUACUUUUAUAUAGUGUGCAUGUUUGCAGGGUCAUGUACUUUUGUCCAGUGCAUUUCAGAGGUGCUUUUUAUGAGGUGCUUUCUUUUCAUCUUUAUUGUAUUUUUCCCUACACAAGUUUUUGUUUACUAAUGUCCGCUCAUCCUUUUAUGUCUGCUUUGUGGGCUUCAGGGGCAGACAUGUAAGCCUAUUUAUAUUGCACAUGAUUUCUGCUCGAUUCCUGAAAUAUCAAGAAACACGGGAUGGCACACAUUAAGGCACAGCCACCAUCAUCUCUGUGUGACUCUUCUUUCCCUCCUGUGAUAACCCCUUCUGUCACAAGUACCAGUCAGAUGAGUCUCCAAAUCUCCCUGAACGGGUCUGCCAAGGAAUUAACCAUGAAUAAUAAUCCAAUUGAUCUCCUGGUGGAUUCUGCUUCCCCUGUUUCUACACCAGGCAUUGGAACUGAAGAUGGGAAAGCAAAGUUCUUGGAAGCUCCCCUCCAUGACAACAUGACAAACCCCAAUGUGUUUGGUGAAUGAGUUAGCCCGCUUUAACAGAAUUCAGCCCCAAUAUAAACUUUUGGAUGAAAGGGGACCAGCGCACUCCAAGUUAUUUACUGUUCAGUUGACUCUGGGAGAGCAAACAUGGCAAGCUGAAAGUACAAGCAUUAAGAAGGCUCAACAUGCUGCUGCCAGCCUGGCCCUCUCUGAAACCACACUCCCCAAGCCUGCAGCUAGGCACAGCAAAAACCACAUGAACAAUAACCC